AAACCGCCCCCGGGCGGACAUGAAGUGGCGAACGGGUGAGUAACACGUGACCGACCUGCCCCCCGCCCAGGGACAGCCCCCCGAAAGGGGGAUUAAUACCUGGUACUCCGGGAGCGGCGCAUGCCGCAUCCGGGAAAGCUCUCGCGGCGGGGGAUGGGGUCGCGGCCCAUCAGGUAGACGGCGGGGCAGAGGCCCACCGUGCCGACGACGGGUAGCCGGGUUGAGAGACCGACCGGCCACAUUGGGACUGAGAUACGGCCCAGACUCCUACGGGAGGCAGCAUG
rnacentral:rRNA from 1 species